ACCCCGGAGCGGAACCGAGUCCCACCUAGAGGCUCCGUGCCAGGCGCGAACUUUUCUCCGGGACUGAGAGACUGAACUUGGCUUGAGCCCCUGGGGAGGACUCAAGGCACCCGUAGCCAGGACCAGGCUGAGGUGUCUGCGGCCGGCCUAGGGGACAGCGGUCGGUGGCAAAAGACACCAAGGAAAAGUGGGAGCAGAAGCUUGGGGGUGAGUGAAAGGAGCUCGGCUCGCAGUUUUUUAACGCAGGCUCGGGUCUCCGUUUAUUCUAGGGUGGGCCGGGGCAAGUGCCCUGUCAGCUCUAAGGGAGCAGCCGAGGCCACUGUCCCUUAAGACUGCCGGGGUCCUCAGCACCUGUGUCGGGCUCCAGGAGAGGCUGUGGGCAUGGUGAAUGAAGAUCCCAACCCGCAGGAGCACGAUGGCACCCCCGCGCAGGAGCCUGCUCUGCGGGCGGACCCCAGCGCCUCCAUCCACCAGAGCGUGUCGGUGCACCCGAGCGUGUCUGCCCACCCCAGCGUCUCCAUCCACCCCAGCGUGUCGGCGUACCCAAGCAGUUCGGCCCACCCCAGUACCUUGGCCCAAGCCGCUGGCUUGGCCAACCCCAGUAGCUCGUGCCCCGAGGACCUCAGCGUGAUCAAGGUGAGCAGGCGCCGCUGGGUGGUGGUCCUGCUGUUUAGCUUCUACUCCAUGUGCAACGCCUUCCAGUGGAUACAGUACGGCUCCAUCAAUAACGUCUUCGUGAAGUUCUACGGGGUCAGUGCCUUUGCCAUUGACUGGCUGUCCAUGUGUUACAUGCUGACCUACAUCCCUCUGCUCCUGCCGGUCGCCUGGCUGCUGGAGAAAUUCGGCCUGCGCACCAUCGCCCUCACCGGCUCUGCUCUCAACUGCCUGGGGGCCUGGGUGAAGUUGGGGAGCGUGAAGCCACAUCUCUUCCCAGUCACGGUCCUAGGCCAGGUCAUCUGCUCUGUGGCCCAGGUCUUCAUCCUGGGCAUGCCGUCCCGCAUCGCUUCGGUCUGGUUCGGGGCUGAUGAGGUGUCAACAGCCUGCUCCAUAGCUGUGUUUGGCAACCAGCUUGGAAUUGCAGUUGGGUUCUUGGUCCCUCCUGUCUUGGUACCCAACACCGAAGACCGGGACAAGCUUGCCUACCACAUCGGCGUCAUGUUUUACAUAGUAGCAGGCGUGGCCACUCUGCUUUUCAUCCUUGUCAUCAUCGUAUUCAGGGAGAAGCCUAAACAUCCCCCCAGCAGGGCCCAAUCCCUGAGCUAUGCCUUGGCGUCCCCUGAUGCUUCGUACUUAAGUUCCAUCGUUCGGCUCUUCAAAAACCUCAACUUUGUGCUGCUUGUCAUCACCUAUGGUCUGAAUGCUGGUGCUUUUUAUGCCUUGUCCACUCUGCUGAAUCGCAUGGUGAUCUUGCAUUACCCGGGGGAAGAAGUGAAUGCUGGAAGAAUUGGCCUGACCAUCGUCAUUGCAGGAAUGCUUGGGGCUGUGAUCUCAGGCAUCUGGCUGGAUAGGUCCAAAACCUACAAGGAGACAACCCUGGUGGUCUACAUCAUGACGGUAGUGGGCAUGGUGGUGUACACAUUGACUUUGAACCUGGGAUACCUGUGGGUAGUGUUCAUCACCGCGGGCACAAUGGGCUUCUUCAUGACUGGCUACCUCCCGCUGGGAUUUGAGUUUGCGGUGGAGCUGACAUACCCAGAAUCAGAAGGCAUAUCAUCUGGCCUCCUGAAUGUGUCUGCCCAGGUAUUUGGGAUCAUCUUCACCAUCUCCCAGGGCCAGAUUAUUGACAACUACGGAACCAUGCCUGGGAACAUCUUUCUCUGUGUGUUCCUCACCCUUGGGGCAGCCCUCACUGCGUUCAUUAGGGCAGAUCUACGGAGGCAGAAAGCAAACAAAGAAACUCCUGAGAAUAGCACGUCACUGUUGUCACAGUCUGCUGAGCAGCGCCCACUCCUUGGAUCCUGAGACAAGUCCUGAGACCCUGGCUCCACUGCUUUCAGCCUGGGGUCAGUGGCUGGAGACGAAAGAAACUCCAGGAGGAAGAGGAGGAGGAGGAGAGCAAUACCAGCAAAGCCCCCACCACUGUGUCUGAGGAUCAUGUCUGAGAGGAAAAGGUGGUGGCGACUCAGGGAACGCGGACAGCACUCCCCACCUCUUCUGUCAGCGCUGGAGCAGCUUUUGGAGGGAACAGGCUGGAAUAUUUGCGGCUUGGACGGCAGUGCCUCUGCCUCCUGGAACCCACUCAAGAGCUUGCAUGGGCUAGUUGGGGAAGAUGGCACCUCCCACCAAAGGCACACUUGAUACCCGCCCCCUCCCCCUUGUAGGCUGUGGGAGCUGGUGUUGGGAGAAGCUGGUGGAGAAUGGUGGUACCUCGUCUUCCCCCUUCACCUCCAUCCCGCAAGGAAAGAGCCUGCAAAAUUAUCACGGAAAGAAAGCUUAUUCAGGAUAUUAACUUUUUCUAGUAUCGUAAGACCCUUAGAAGCCCAGUUCUAAGGAGAGGCAGCUGCUCUGCAUGAGGGUAAUUUUGGGGUCAUCACACUGGCUGCUAAUGUUCUGUGGGAGAGAAAGCGCCAUCAGAAAACUUCAGCACAAACCCAUCAGGACUUGGCCUUGCUUCUCCUGCGCUCAGGCUGGGGUCUGUUUCCAGACCCUUUCCUAAGAGCUGAUCAAACCAAACAUCAAUAAACUUGGCAGAAACUUUGCUGUGGUCAUGAAGGAGAAACCCGUGUGGGAGGGCGACCUGCCUAGGUGUGAGGGCACUUGUGAAGGCCUGAAUUUGGGCACUGUGGUAGCUUGACUUGGGGACAGAAAGGUUCUUUUCUACAAAAUCUCUGCCCAGGGACUUCUGUGUGUGUGUGUCAUAGUGAACUCUGAUGUUUUCAUGUGGACACUGCCUUGAGAAACUCUGCCACCGGCCUCAGCGCUUCCUUUCUCUGAGGGGAGGGAAAUCCCAGCCAACUUCCUGUAACCUUUACUGAAAACUAACUUUGUUUCAUUCCACAGUGGCUUCCGAGAGGAGAGGAAAGGGCCAGAGGGAAAGGUGGCCCUUGAAAUGGGAAUCGAGUCAGCUUGCAUUCUGCAUUAAGUGUCUCUUGCCUCGGAGGGGAUUGUAUUUGCACACCCACCUCAACUCCCCAUCCCCUUCCAGCAAUCAUCUUUUAACAGAUAUGGUGAAUUUAAAGGGAUUCCCUUUAAACCAAUCCAGGGUGACCUCCUUUCCUGCCCAGUCUGGCUCUACUCACGGGAUGAGGUAGUGUCCCCUGAAAAAUAAGACAUUUUAGUCAUUUCUCCUGCAUUGAGUAGCUGUGAUCAUGACCAUGGUGCUGUUUGGCUGUGGCCACUGCCUGCUCUCGGCAUCUAGGGGCAGCCUGGGUUGGCAGGAGGGCCAGGGUGCUUGGGCCACUGCUGGAGGGGAGCCAGGUGCGUGUGUGUGUGUGUGUGUGUGUGUGUAUGUGUGCAGACAUCUGGAUGUUCUGUAUGUAAUAGAAGUUCACACUUCCGGUGGGAGGAGUGAUGGGAGGUGGAAGACAGGUGGAGAGGAAGCAUGUCUUGCUUUUUGAUACGGAGAAAGGUGUUUACUCUUCAGCUCCUUAAAACUUUUUAACAGAAUGUUUACCAGAUUAUUCAUUCCUUUAUUUUAAAAACAUAAUUUGUAUUUUCUAUUUGUAAUACUGGAUGUUUUAAGACAAUAAAAGAUUCUUCAAGUGGU